CUCUCCCUCCUGCCCUCCCUCCCUCCUGCCCUCCCUCCCUCCUGCCUUCAUCUUCCCUCCAUCCCGUCCUUCCUUGACAAGAUCAGCAGGCACAUGACGUGUAGGCAGGUAGGUGAGUCUGCCAACUUCAGGAUCUUGAUCAAGAAGUCAAGGCGCCCAAGAACGGCCCCUGGAAGCACGGGGUGGUCUGAAGAGAAGCCAGCAGCAGGCUCCAGAGUGCGGGAGAGCCGUGUGCGGUGAGAGUCACCGGUGGAGAGCGAAAUGACCCGCUCCUCCCACUGCCUGUGCCCUCUGUAUAUGGAACCGCAGAGAGACUGCCCACACGUCUGCCUCUGACAUUACCAGUGGCUGCUCUUCCUGGAGUACAUAGGGCUUAAAAAUAUUUUGGAUUAUGAAAAUACUCGAGAGGGCACUCUGUCACUGAAUGCAGUGACGCCAAAACUCUUUUCUAUUUAGAAAGUCUGUGACUACACAGACAGCUUGCCUGGGACAGGUGCCCAUUAAGUGAGGGCUAGGAGGUGCCUGACUGGUAUCCAGGACUUGGAGCUUGUAAGCGGAUUACAUUUUAAAAGGCUAGUAAUCGCCGACAGAACACUUCAUUAAUCCAUUUGUAUGAAUUAUCUCAUUUAAUUUUCAUAACACCGCCAGGGGGUGGCAUGUGGUUUCAGCGUAAUAAACUACUCUAUGCCUUAGUGGCUAAAACCAACAUAAUUACACUUCUUGCUUGUCAGUUUCUGGGCUCAGUAGGGCUAUUCUUGUGGGGAUCUUGGAAUUGCAGUCAGGUGGCGGCUGGGGCUGUACUCAUCUGAAGGUCAAAGAGGUAGGAUGCCCUGGAAUGUCCAUUCGCUUGGCUGGCAGCAGACACCAGCUGCCCACUGGCACUGCUAACCAUGGCAUCCCACACAGCAGCCCUGAGAGCAUCAGUUUCUCACCGCUUGGUGCCUGGGUUAUCAGAGAAAACAUUCUCAAAGAUCCAGCCAAGGUGGUUAUCCCAGAAGAAUCCUCUACACAAGGCAAUGGCCAAGCAGGUCAACCCUGCCCAGACGGACAGACAAGUCUCUGUUUAGCGAUGGAUGAGUGGAUGCUGGGUCUUUUCUGAGGAGCAGCUGGGAUGGAAGAGAUUCGUGGUGAACAGUGAAUCAGCCACGGGCAGUCGCUAUUAAUGUCUCAUUUGGCAGGCAGAAACCUCCCAGAAGAGCUGGCCUUGCUCUUUCUUUGGCAGCCUAAAAGAGACAGAGGCCCAGGGUGUGGGGGAUCAGGACCAGCCAACUGAAUGUGACCACAAAAAGACAUUAUUUUCCUCUAAGGCAGAGACGCCUAGCUGCCUGAGAGAAAGUCUUACCGACGCACAAUGGCUGUCCCCAAACAAUGCCUUUGUCAAAUUUGAGCCGGCAGGAAAAACAAAAUGUCAACAACAGUACCUUUUCCCAGGAGUAGGCACUGACUUGGUUGGGGACCUUUGCACACAGUGGACAUGUGGACACCUGCAAAUUCAGAGGCCAGAGAUGAGAAGGAAUGAAGCCCUCGGAUGGGCCUGGCUGCCUGGUAGUUGCAAGGAUACCUUUGUGCCCUGUGCAGGACCUGAGAGUGAAUGGUGUUUGGUUCUAAUGCAGGGCAUUGCAGAUCUAGGGCAAAGUGUUUGUUCGCAGCUGUGACUGAGCGGCUGUGCCUGGCUCCUGGAACAUCCUGGGAGGGAAGAGCUAUGUGAGUCCCAGUCACCUCCCUUUUCCGGCUCUGAGGACACAUGGCAGGGGUGUGAGAAGAAGGCCGGUGACACAGCUGGACCAAGUCUGUUCACUUCUACUUUUCUUUGGAUUGGAGUCUUGGAGAGUGGAGGACGCUUCCAGACAUAGCCCUGGUUCUUCGCAAUCUCCUGGGCUCCCGGAAUCCACCCUGGGGAGAGCCACUAGUCUGGGUCCCAGGGGGCCCCUCUGCUUGGCCAGGUGCGUGCCUGCCCACCUUGAGGGUCCUCUCUUUGGUCACCUGACUAAUUUACAUCUAGAAAGUGCCCCUGGGGGUUCGUGGGUGUGUCUGACAGCAAUGGGGGGUAGGGGCAGGAGUAGAAGCUGCUGGAAGGCAGUACUUUCAAUGGGAGUUAGGUGUUGUGAAGGCUGAGUGUACAUCAGGCUCAGACAGAUGGCUUACUUCUUUCCCGGUGGCCAGACAGCACUCUGAACGCCACAGUGCCUGCAUUUCCUAUCAUUGCCUGCAGAGGGCAUGCUUAUUCCAGGUUUCUGAGCAUGCCCCCGAGCAUCUUCCAGGUUGACAGCCAUCUUCUUGGCAAGGCUUCUCUUUCCCGACCCUCUCAGGUCAGCGUGGGCGUCCCUCAGGGGUUCCAACGAGCCAGGCUUUCCAAGAGGAAGUUUCUGUCUCUUGUCACUAGUAAAGCCCCAUCCCUUCUUCCUUUUACCAAGUGUUAACAUUUGAAGUAGCUGAUAAGUCUCCAACAUGAGGCGAGACAGAGAAGGGCUGUGUCCGUGUGUCCGUGUGUCCAUGUGUGAGACUGACCACCCGUGUGAGGAGGCCUUGGCUGCAUGCUGUGGUAAUGGCCACCACUGGGGUCAGGAGAACUUGAUGGCCUCAACUGUCCUCAUGAGUCCCCUCUUAGAGUGGUUCUUCUUGGCAGUUAAAGGCUCGUGAUGCUCUCCUCAUUAAACACACAUUUAUGGAAUACCUACUA